GAUGAACGCUGGCGGCGUGCCUAAUACAUGCAAGUCGAGCGAACGGACGAGAAGCUUGCUUCUCUGAUGUUAGCGGCGGACGGGUGAGUAACACGUGGAUAACCUACCUAUAAGACUGGGAUAACUUCGGGAAACCGGAGCUAAUACCGGAUGAUAUUUUGAACCGCAUGGUUCAAAAGUGAAAGACGGUCUUGCUGUCACUUAUAGAUGGAUCCGCGCUGCAUUAGCUAGUUGGUAAGGUAACGGCUUACCAAGGCAACGAUGCGUAGCCGACCUGAGAGAGUGAACGGCCACACUGGAACUGGAACACGGUAAAGACUACUACGGGAGGGAACAGUAGGGAAUCUUCCGCAAUGGGCGAAAGCCUGACGGAGCAACGCCGCGAGAGUGAUGAAGGUCUUCGGAUCGUAAAACUCUGUUAUUAGGGAAGAACAUAUGUGUAAGUAACUGUGCACAUCUUGACGGUACCUAAUCAGAAAGCCACGGCUAACUACGUG
rnacentral:rRNA from 1 species